ACAAUAGGCAAUGCGAAGGUGUUGUUUAAAGUUUAGUGAAUAAAAUUUAUAUAAUGGUGACAUAAUUAUAAUGAAAGAGGUUACAUAAUGUUACAUAUGUUGAUUGGUAACCAAACAGCAAAAGCUUGCAACACAAUGUUUCAGCUGGAUAAAGCUAAUAGCGUUGCCGUUUUGGAUCGAUCAGACUAAAGUUGGUGUUUUCAUUCGACUUUGGUAGUUUGGUUAGUAGGCAAUAUUUUUAUCAGAUGUAUAUAGAAUUUGAUUUGUUCUCUCAAAAUUGGAUAUUAUCUUGUUUGCUAUUUAUACUAACUAAAAAAUAGUUAUGAAUGGGAAUCAUCAGCUGAAUGUAUAGGAAAUAAGAAAUCUAACUAUAAUUCCAUUAGUUCUAUUAAAGAAAAAGGGGUUCAUGAGCGAAAAAAUACUUUAGAUCCUAACAGGGAUCUUACUUGGACAGCUUAGAACGGCGGUCCGACAAGGUUUUUAGCCUUACCGCAUAAAUGCCUAUUGGACAGUCUCCUGUAAGAACCCCUACGAUUGCGGCAAGUAGUUCAGUAGAUCUCCUGUGAUAUGCUCUAGGCCAAAGGGAUUUCAAUAAGCAACACUGAAAGCUAUAUCAAAUUUUUAAAUUCGUUAAUUCACAUAAUUGAUAUUGUAAAUUCAAACAAUAAAUUGUGAACUAAAAGUUUGCAUUUUCAUUGCUAUAUUAUUUGCUUUUUCAUUUAAAAUAAACAUUAUUAAAGUUAUUAAUAGUACUAAGAUAGUUUGUCUAACUAACUAAAUGAUAUCUAUAUACUCCGGAAAUACAUAUAAUAUUAUUUUUAAAAAUUCCGGAAGUUGACUUUUUGAGUUGGGAUUGAUGGUAUAAAUAGGGUUAAUUAGUGUAAAACAAUUAAAAUCUAUUUUUGAAAACUCAUGCUACGUUAUAGUAUGAUAUUUAAAGAAUUGUCUGUUAAAUAUUCAUGGACAAAUAUUUAAAAAAUACGGCAAUGGCAGCAAUUACUCUGAAGCGUUGAAUUGCGGUGCUGAAAUAUCGGAAAUAAAAAAAUCAAAAUUAUAUCGUCAGAUAAUCGCUUUGCUCAGAAAUGUUUUGCGGAGUCUACUUUCACUACGAGCACCAGUAUUUGAGUGGCACAAAGCAUUCAGUGAAGGUCGUGAAGUCAUCAAAAACUUGUCUAAUACGAUUUGGAUGGACGACUUUGCCUUUGAUAAGACGAUAACAUGGAAAAACUUAAAGAAACCAUUUUUGAAAAUCUUCGUGUUGACAUUUCAUUUGUUAAGAUACGAGAUAUCAGAGGAUUUCAACAUCUAUUACGAUCGCCUCAACAUAUUUUGGUUAAAGUUUUAGGUAUGAGAUGAGCUAAUGCUAGUCUCAUACCAAAAUACUUGAAUGGUUUAUAAAAACGACGUCGAUUAGAUCCUAGCUGAGGAUUCUACAUUCAUCAAAUGGGUCAUUACUCGUAAAGAGAAGUGGGUUUAUGAAUAUGGUGUCUAACCUGUCCAACAAUCUAGUGAAUGGUGCUGCAAAAAUGAGCCGAAACCGAAAAAACGAAAGUUCGCUAACGGCAUAGAAGGCUACCACAGCUGAGGUUUAUAACAAGUGCAUGGAAAAUUGGAUUAAGAAAUGACAUGUUUGUGUUGGAUCAGAAGCCUAUUUUGAAGGCGAUA